rnacentral:rRNA from 1 species
CCUACGGGCGGCAGCAGUGAGGAAUAUUGGUCAAUGGGCGCGAGCCUGAACCAGCCAAGUCGCGUGAGGGAAGACGGUCCUAUGGAUUGUAAACCUCUUUUGUCGAGGAGCAAAAGACGCCACGCGUGGCGUUCCGAGAGUACCCGAAGAAAAAGCAUCGGCUAACUCCGUGCCAGCAGCGGCGGUAAUACGGAGGAUGCGAGCGUUAUCCGGAUUUAUUGGGUUAAAAGGGUGCGCAGGCGGAAGAUCAAGUCAGCGGGAAAAUUGAGAGGCUCAAACGCAUCGAGCCGUUGAUACUGGGUGUCUUGAGUGAACGAGAGGUAUGUGGAAUGCGUGGUGUAGCGGUGAAAUGCAUAGAUAUCACGAAGAACUCCGAUUGCGAAGGCAGCAUACCGGCGCUCAACUGACGCUCAUGCACGAAAGUGUGGGUAUCGAACAGGAUUAGAUACCCGAGUAGUC